GCCGAGAUAGCUCAGUUGGUAGAGCGCAGGACUGAAAAUCCUGGCGUCCCCGGUUCAAUUCCGGGUCUCGGCA
rnacentral:tRNA from 1 species